GGCGGCAUGGCCAAGUGGUAAGGCAGAGGACUGCAAAUCCUUUAUCCCCAGUUCGAAUCUGGGUGCCGCCUCCA
rnacentral:tRNA from 5 species